AUAUCAUCUCCUUGGUUCUUUUCGCUCUCGUGGUGAUCGUCUCUGCUGAAGUUAUCUUCGAGGAAAAAUUCGAUGAUGGAUGGGAGAAGAGAUGGGUAAAAUCCGACUG